rnacentral:rRNA from 1 species
UACGGAGGGUGCGAGCGUUGUCCGGAAUCACUGGGCGUAAAGGGCGCGUAGGUGGCGCGGGCAGUCAACGGUGAAAGUUCGGGGCUCAACCCUGAAUCGGCCGUCGAUACUCCCGUGCUUGAGCACUGUAGAGGCAGAUGGAAUUCCGGGUGUAGCGGUGGAAUGCGUAGAGAUCCGGAAGAACACCGGUGGCGAAGGCGGUCUGCUGGGCAGUAGCUGACACUGAGGCGCGACAGCGUGGGGAGCGAACAGG